rnacentral:snoRNA from 14 species
AGCCUGUGAUGAAUUCAAUUUCUGACACCUCGUAUGAAAACUGCAUACAUGUGCAGUCUGAUUACACUAUAAAACUGAGGCUG